CUCCCCUUUAUUCUUCCCUAUCUUCCUUCUUUCCUCUUUUCCUGACUUUCUCCUUUCUUUUCUUCCCCUCCCUACCUUCCUUCCAAUUGUCCUCUUUUCCUUUCUCCAUUCAUUACUUCCAUCCUUUCUAUCUUCCUUCCUUCCUUCCUUCCUUCCUUCAUUCCUUCCUUCCUUCCUCUUUCCUGCCUUUAUCUCUUCCUCCCUGCCUUCCUUCAUUUCUAUAUUUCUUCUUUUCUUUCUUCCUUCUUUCCUUCCUAUAUUCAUCCUAUUUUCUUCUUUCUACUUUUUCUCCUUGCCCUCCUUUUUUCUUUCUUCUUUAUUCCUUUUAUUCUCUUCUAUCUUCCUUCUUUCUUCAGUCCCUCCCUUUCUCCUUUCUUUUCUUCCUCCCUCCCUGACUUUCUUUUUCACUUCUCCACUUGUAGUCUCACACUUACUAGCUAUGGCCCAGGCAGGUCUCUUUAUUUCUCUGAGCCUUUGCUUCUUCAUCUAUAAAAUGAGUAUAAUAAUGCUUGCAUUGCCCAGGUGCAUUAUGAGAAAUGCAAUUGCUCUCACUUGCAUUCUCCCCUUUUCCCUUCUUUCCUUUCUUUUUCUCCCUUUCCUCCCUUCCCUCUCUUUUACUUCUCCCUUCUUUUCUCCUUCCCUCCCAGUGAAGCAUUUGGAAUAUCCAUUGGCUCUCUCUCAUUCUCACUAUUUGACUAGCAUAACUCCCUUUGCAAAAGUCUAGAAGCCUUGUUUCUGGACAGGAAAGACCCAGCUACACUUUGUCAACUUUUCAUUUUUCUGGUAUGCUGUCUAGCCCCAGGUGAUCUGGGAAUUUCAAUAUCUGAUAUCUGGAGUGACCAGCUCUUCUCACAGAUACACAGGUUCAACAAGCUCCAAAUAUAAAUAAUUUACAAGUUAUAGAAGGUGUUGUAAUAGAGUAGAACGACCAUUGGAUAUAGAAUCAAAGGAAAUAGGUUCAAAUCCAAUGUAAUGGACUUUGCUACUAAUAGCAAUGCAACAAGGCAGGACAUGCCUGAAGGACUUAUGGGAAAGAAUACACAU
rnacentral:lncRNA from 1 species